GUGAUUUAUUGGCAGACUGCUGCAAACGCCAAGGACGAUCUACCACUUUAUUUUAUAAUUAAACUUCUUGCUGCGCGGAGCAACACUAAAGGAUUUAAACGUUUAAUUCCCCUAUCUCAUGAGGUAGCAGAACUUUUCUCGUGGAAGGGAACUGGUACCAAAAGCAGCGCUAUUGGUUUGGCAACGACUGCGG